rnacentral:rRNA from 1 species
GGUUAAGCGACUAAGCGUACACGGUGGAUGCCCUGGCAGUCAGAGGCGAUGAAGGACGUGCUAAUCUGCGAAAAGCGUCGGUAAGGUGAUAUGAACCGUUACAGCCGGCGAUGUCCGAAUGGGGAAACCCAGUGCAAUUCGUUGCACUAUCGUUAACUGAAUACAUAGGUUAACGAGGCGAACCGGGGGAACUGAAACAUCUAAGUACCCCGAGGAAAAGAAAUCAACCGAGAUUCCCCCAGUAGCGGCGAGCGAACGGGGAGCAGCCCAGAGUCUGAAUCAGCUUGUGUGUUAGUGGAACGGUCUGGAAAGUCCGACGGUACAGGGUGAUAGUCCCGUACACCAAAAUGCACAGGCUGUGAACUCGAAGAGUAGGGCGGGACACGUGGUAUCCUGUCUGAAUAUGGGGGGACCAUCCUCCAAGGCUAAAUACUCCUGACUGACCGAUAGUGAACCAGUACCGUGAGGGAAAGGCGAAAAGAACCCCGGCGAGGGGAGUGAAAAAGAACCUGAAACCGUGUACGUACAAGCAGUGGGAGCACCUUCGGGUGUGACUGCGUACCUUUUGUAUAAUGGGUCAGCGACUUAUAUUCUGUAGCAAGGUUAACCGUAUAGGGGAGCCGCAGGGAAACCGAGUCUUAACUGGGCGUUAAGUUGCAGGGUAUAGACCCGAAACCCGGUGAUCUAGCCAUGGGCAGGUUGAAGGUUGGGUAACACUAACUGGAGGACCGAACCGACUAAUGUUGAAAAAUUAGCGGAUGACUUGUGGCUGGGGGUGAAAGGCCAAUCAAACCGGGAGAUAGCUGGUUCUCCCCGAAAGCUAUUUAGGUAGCGCCUCGUGAAUUCAUCUUCGGGGGUAGAGCACUGUUUCGGCUAGGGGGUCAUCCCGACUUACCAACCCGAUGCAAACUACGAAUACCGAAGAAUGUUAUCACGGGAGACACACGGCGGGUGCUAACGUCCGUCGUGAAGAGGGAAACAACCCAGACCGCCAGCUAAGGUCCCAAAGUCAUGGUUAAGUGGGAAACGAUGUGGGAAGGCACAGACAGCCAGGAUGUUGGCUUAGAAGCAGCCAUCAUUUAAAGAAAGCGUAAUAGCUCACUGGUCGAGUCGGCCUGCGCGGAAGAUGUAACGGGGCUAAACCAUGCACCGAAGCUGCGGCAGCGACACUAUGUGUUGUUGGGUAGGGGAGCGUUCUGUAAGCCUGCGAAGGUGUGCUGUGAGGCAUGCUGGAGGUAUCAGAAGUGCGAAUGCUGACAUAAGUAACGAUAAAGCGGGUGAAAAGCCCGCUCGCCGGAAGACCAAGGGUUCCUGUCCAACGUUAAUCGGGGCAGGGUGAGUCGACCCCUAAGGCGAGGCCGAAAGGCGUAGUCGAUGGGAAACAGGUUAAUAUUCCUGUACUUGGUGUUACUGCGAAGGGGGGACGGAGAAGGCUAUGUUAGCCGGGCGACGGUUGUCCCGGUUUAAGCAUGUAGGCUGGUUAUCCAGGCAAAUCCGGAUAAUCAAGGCUGAGGUGUGAUGACGAGGCACUACGGUGCUGAAGUAACAAAUGCCCUGCUUCCAGGAAAAGCCUCUAAGCAUCAGGUAACAUCAAAUCGUACCCCAAACCGACACAGGUGGUCAGGUAGAGAAUACCAAGGCGCUUGAGAGAACUCGGGUGAAGGAACUAGGCAAAAUGGUGCCGUAACUUCGGGAGAAGGCACGCUGGUGUGUAGGUGAAGCCCCUGCGGGUGGAGCUGAGACCAGUCGAAGAUACCAGCUGGCUGCAACUGUUUAUUAAAAACACAGCACUGUGCAAACACGAAAGUGGACGUAUACGGUGUGACGCCUGCCCGGUGCCGGAAGGUUAAUUGAUGGGGUUAUCCGUAAGGAGAAGCUCUUGAUCGAAGCCCCGGUAAACGGCGGCCGUAACUAUAACGGUCCUAAGGUAGCGAAAUUCCUUGUCGGGUAAGUUCCGACCUGCACGAAUGGCGUAAUGAUGGCCAGGCUGUCUCCACCCGAGACUCAGUGAAAUUGAACUCGCUGUGAAGAUGCAGUGUACCCGCGGCAAGACGGAAAGACCCCGUGAACCUUUACUAUAGCUUGACACUGAACAUUGAGCCUUGAUGUGUAGGAUAGGUGGGAGGCUUUGAAGCGUGGACGCCAGUCUGCGUGGAGCCAACCUUGAAAUACCACCCUUUAAUGUUUGAUGUUCUAACGUUGGCCCCUGACCGGGGUUGCGGACAGUGUCUGGUGGGUAGUUUGACUGGGGCGGUCUCCUCCCAAAGCGUAACGGAGGAGCACGAAGGUUAGCUAAUCCUGGUCGGACAUCAGGAGGUUAGUGCAAUGGCAUAAGCUAGCUUGACUGCGAGCGUGACGGCGCGAGCAGGUGCGAAAGCAGGUCAUAGUGAUCCGGUGGUUCUGAAUGGAAGGGCCAUCGCUCAACGGAUAAAAGGUACUCCGGGGAUAACAGGCUGAUACCGCCCAAGAGUUCAUAUCGACGGCGGUGUUUGGCACCUCGAUGUCGGCUCAUCACAUCCUGGGGCUGAAGUAGGUCCCAAGGGUAUGGCUGUUCGCCAUUUAAAGUGGUACGCGAGCUGGGUUUAGAACGUCGUGAGACAGUUCGGUCCCUAUCUGCCGUGGGCGCUGGAGAAUUGAGGGGGGCUGCUCCUAGUACGAGAGGACCGGAGUGGACGCAUCACUGGUGUUCGGGUUGUCAUGCCAAUGGCACUGCCCGGUAGCUAAAUGCGGAAGAGAUAAGUGCUGAAAGCAUCUAAGCACGAAACUUGCCCCGAGAUGAGUUCUCCCUGAGACUUUAAGUCUCCUGAAGGAACGUUGAAGACGACGACGUUGAUAGGCCGGGUGUGUAAGCGCAGCGAUGCGUUGAGCUAACCGGUACUAAUGAACCGUGAGGCUUAACCUU